AUUUAUAGCUGAUUUUCCCUCCCCUCUUUAUUUUCUUUUCUCUGUUAUUUUCUUCCAAUCCAAACAGCCGAUUUUCCGAGAAAAUAAAAUAAAAGAAAAGGAAAAUCCGGUUCUCUCUCUCUGAGAUUUAUCAAAAUAAACAAACAAACUCUGCCUCUCAAAACUCACCACUUGCAUUUUAAUUAUUACAAAAGGAUUCAGAAGAGAAAGAACUCUAUCCAAUCCAAACCGACUUCUUUAUCCGAUUGCCUCGAUUCUAGCAAAAAUUCGCCCAAAUUUCGAUUUCGAUUUCGAUUUCGAAGGAUUUAGGUUUUUUUUAAGAGUUGUUGACCUCAAUUUUCUAAAUUUCCCGAGAAAAUAAGAAGGAAAGAUGAUGCGGAGGCAGCAGGAACAAGACCAACAAUCUAGGGUUUUCUACGAGCUAUCGGCUCUGGUUCUUAACCUCCUCCGAUCUCCACCCACGCCGAUUCAAUUCUCCGAUAACUCCACGGUGAUGCCGCCGUCUUCGUCUUCGUCGUCGUUGAGGCGGCCGCCGGCGGCGUCGACGGCGCAGAUCUCUCCGGCUGGGUUCGCGUCGUUGAUGCUGGGGAUUUCGAUGGCUCUGAUGCUGUGCGGAUCGGUGACUUUCUUCAUUGGGUUCUUAUUGAUGCCGUGGGUGCUGGGAUUGGUGAUGGUGUUGUAUGUGGCGGGGAUCCUAUGGAGCCUCUCCGUCUUGGGGAAGUCGAUUCUUUGCUACGCCUCUGCUCCGUCGACACCGCGGAAGGAUAUUCCUGAACUAUACAAGCAGCUAGAAAUUAAUCUCAAACCAUUUGCUCUGUUAGAGCGCGGAGCCAUGUGCUGCAUAUGCAUUAGUAUCUGGCUUUCCCUCGGCCCCCCAUCUGUUCGUCAAAUUCCGCUUUGAUUGCUGCCACAACUGUGCCAAUUGUCCAACCUUCAUCCAUCAUUGAUGAAAAAGUAUUAAACUUCAUUAAUACCCUUCGAUUCAGAAAUGCAUAUGAUCGUUCAAUAAGAAAACGUCAUGAGGAAAAUUGAUUUGGACAUCUUUGUUUAUUGGUAUCCUAGGAAUACUUUGUUUUUUUCUUCUAAAUUUCUCAUCUGUUAAUUUGAGCAGUCUCACAAUCUUGAAGUUCCUGUAACAGAAGAAACAGAUUGGAAGGUUUUGUUUGCUUUGUAAAGCCGCUAAGGAAGAUAAACACUAGUGUUGAAUAUGCAAUGAAAUCAUUGAAAUGUGACCUGGCCUGACUAACCAGGGUUUAGAUUCAUCAAACCCAAUUGAGGGAUGAACAUGCUAGCUCGGAUUUAAAUUUAGUUAGAACCCUGCUCGGAUUGGAUGUAGGUCCAUGUGGCUGUUCACAAAGCGUUUUGGCUUGUUGGCAAGGAACAUAGGUAUUGAAAAUGAUAUCUGAAGUAUAAUUAGUCGGGGGUAUAUUUUUAUUAAAAAAUUUAAGGAAAUAUUAUGGGAAGUUAAGGCCUGAGAGGACGUGUUUGACAUUUAGUUAUUUUUUGGUUCAUCGUCCCUGCUCUUUUCCCCUGUCAAGGUUAAUGGUGUAGUCCCUGUUCCCCCGUUCAUUCUAUACGCACAGGAAAUAUUAUUUGCUGCCUCGAUUGGUACUUCUCUGAAGAUUGUUAAUAACUGUCAGCGUAAAUUUCCUAUUG